UACGUAGGUGGCAAGCGUUAUCCGGAAUUAUUGGGCGUAAAGAGCGCGCAGGUGGUUAAUUAAGUCUGAUGUGAAAGCCAACGGCUUAACCGUGGAGGGUCAUUGGAAACUGGUUGACUUGAGUGCAGAAGAGGGAAGUGGAAUUCCAUGUGUAGCGGUGAAAUGCGUAGAGAUAUGGAGGAACACCAGUGGCGAAGGCGGCUUCCUGGUCUGCAACUGACACUGAGGCGCGAAAGCGUGGGGAGCAAACAGG
rnacentral:rRNA from 1 species